GGAGGAUGCAGAAGAAGCAGGAUCUUGCAGGGGCAGCUUGAUUAUCCUAUCCCAAUAAUAGAUUGGAUAAUCAUGGCAAAGCUGUUGUGCUCAUUUUAAAUACAGAAAUGAGUGUAAGGUUUCCAUAAUCUGUGAAGCCCUGAUGAAAAGAGCUCUUUCAACCUCAAUCCUGCAGCGUUUAAAAGUCCAUCCGUCCACACUUUGGAAGAUGGCAGCAGUAAAGAGAAGAUGAAGUGACUUCCUGCUUAAUCCUCUUAAGGGUUGGAACCAACAUUUCUCCAAGGUGAAAUCUGAAGGAGAAUUUCAGGGUUCCUCCAAGGAGAUAUCAACAUCUGAAAAGGAUUUCCAGGCUUUGCACCAGGGAGAAGCAUCAGGAAUUUUUCUCAGACAGUAUCUUCACACAUUCAUAUCCUGCUUCAUACAUUCAUAUCCUACUUUCGCUCCAAGGAAGCUCAGGUUGGUGUACAGAGUGUGAAGCACAUAAGGAUAGCUGGCUAGAAG